rnacentral:rRNA from 1 species
UGGAAGUAAAAAUCGUAACAAGGUCUCCGUUGGUGAACCAGCGGAGGGAUCAUUACCAGAGUGCCUUUUGGCUCUCCAACCCACUGUGAACAUACCUACGUUUCCCUCGGCGGGCUCAGCGCGUUGCGGUUCCGCCGCCUCGCGUCCGCCGGGGGCACCCAAACUCGAAUUUAUAUCGUGUAUCUCUGAGGGGCGAAAGCCCGUAAAACAAAUGAAUCAAAACUUUCAACAACGGAUCUCUUGGCUCUGGCAUCGAUGAAGAACGCAGCGAAAUGCGAUAAGUAAUGUGAAUUGCAGAAUUCAGUGAAUCAUCGAAUCUUUGAACGCACAUUGCGCCCGCCGGCACUCCGGCGGGCAUGCCUGUCCGAGCGUCAUUUCAACCCUCGGGCCCACCCCUCGCGGGGAACGGGCCCGGCGUUGGGGACCGGAGGCCGCCCCGGCGGCACCCGCCCCCUAAAUUCAGUGGCGGUCGCGCCGCAGCCUCCCCUGCGUAGUAGCACACCUCGCACCGGAGAGCGGCACGGCCACGCCUCGAAACCCCCCAAUUUUUCAGGUUGACCUCGGAUCAGGUAGGAAUACCCGCUGAACUUAAGCAUAUCAAUAGGCGGAGGA